CAUUUAACAGCUUUCAAACACAGGUUAGAAACAGGACUUCUGGGAAAAAUACAUUUCUGGAGGAUCACAAACAUAUUGUUACGGUGAGUGAAUGAGGACCCAAAAGCGAACUAACUUAAACAGAGCUUCUUUAAUAACCAAACAUAGGUAGGCUCAGAUAGACCGGCAGAUUCCGACAGGACAGGACAAGGUUACAGCAAACAUGACGAUAGUCUGGCUCAGGCAUGAAACACAACAAACAAGAAUCCGACAAGGACAGGAACAAAAACAGAGAGAGAUAUAGGGGACUAAUCAGAGGGAAAAAGGGAACAGGUGGGAAACGGGGUGACGAGGUAGUCAGGAGGAGACAAGGAACAGCUGGGGGAAAGCGGGGGAGAAAAGGUAACCUAAUACGACCAGCAGAGGGAGAGAGGAGACAAGGAACAGCUGGGGGAAAGCGGGGGAGAAAAGGUAACCUAAUACGACCAGCAGAGGGAGACAGGGUGAAAGGAAAGGACAGAAAGACACAACAUGACAAUACAUGACACAUAUGUUUGCUUACUAAUCCAAUGGGUUCAGCUAUAAUACAGUGACAGUGUUUGUUUGCCUGUAAUUUCUCUAUGGCCUCUCAGGGACUUGGCUGGCUUAGUUGACAUGCUGUUUUUCUCUGCAGUUUUAGCCAUUGUGACAACUAAGGGAUGUUGCUGGUUGUGUUUAACUACGACAUUUGUUGAUUGCUUAUCUUCAACAUGGACUUGAUUUCCUUUAUUUAUGUAUCACCAGAACUAAUAACCCUGAAGACUAUGUUGUGGAACAGUCCAGUCAGGAGAAGGUCAGGAGAUGCUUGGGACAUGGUCCUUUGUAGCUUAGUUGGUAAAACAUGCCGCUUGUCACGCCAGGGUAGUGGUUUGAUUCCUGGGACCACACAUUCAUAAAAUGUAUGAGCACAUGACUUUAAGUCGCUUUGUAUGAAAGCGUCUGCUACAUAUAUUAUGUACAAAAAAAAUCUGAAAAUAUGACAU
rnacentral:lncRNA from 13 species